GGGCGAUUAGCUCAGGGGUAGAGCACUUGCAUGACACGCAAGGGGUCGUUGGUUCGAGACCAUCAUCGCCCACCA
rnacentral:tRNA from 1 species